UACGUAGGGGGCGAGCGUUGUCCGGAUUUAUUGGGCGUAAACGGCUUGUAGGCGGCUUUACAGGUCCGUUGUGAAAACUCGAGGCUCAACCUCGAGACGCCGGUGGAAACCGUAAAGCUAGAGUCCGGAAGAGGAGAGUGGAAUUCCUGGUGUAGCGGUGAAAUGCGCAGAUAUCAGGAAGAACACCCGUGGCGAAGGCGGCUCUCUGGGACGGUACUGACGCUGAGACGCGAAAGCGUGGGGAGCGAACAGG
rnacentral:rRNA from 1 species